rnacentral:tRNA from 1 species
AGGUGACUACCGUACCGGUUCGAUUCCGGUCCUCGGCACCA